CGGUGAACUUACAUACAAAAAAAGUACGCCAUUCUUCGAUUUGUAUUUGUAUAGUUCAUCUACUAGAUUGGAUCGAGCGUGUCAUCAGAUUCCUUGAAUUGUUCAUAUGUACGCAUUGGUACAGUGAAAUCGUAUCUGGCUGAACUUUGUGCGUUUUGCAGGGAUUGUUGCUUUUGCUGUGGUUGUAUCUGGUCGAUUUAAUGAGAAGACCUUUGAUCAAUGAUGGCGAUAGUGAAUUUAGCCCGAUACACAUAGUUUGUGUCGGUUUCCCGGCCGUACUCGUGGGCAUGGUUUUCUUGCAAAUCUGUGUGUCCAUAUCCGUUCCUACAGAUGCCUCUGGAGUUCCUAUAGGGUUUGAACUUUGAAGCAAACGGAACUUUGCGCCUUUACAUGAAAACCCAUAUGAAUUGCACUCAAACUUCUUC
rnacentral:lncRNA from 1 species